CUUACAUGAUGAUCAAAUCAGUUCUGCUACUGAAUCAUUCGUGACGAAAGCAAAAAUACCAAAUCCACUGAAGA